GUGCCACCGCCGCGGUAAUACCGGCAGCCCGAGUGAUGACCGAUCUUAUUGGGCCUAAAGUGUCCGUCGCUGGCUACGCAAGUCCGUCGGGAAAUCCACUCGCCCAACGAGUGGGCGUCCGACGGAAACUGCAUAGCUUGGGACCGGAAGGCUCGAAGGGUACGUUCGGGGUAGGAGUGAAAUCCCAUAAUCCCGCACGGACCACCGAUGGCGAAAGCACUUCGAGAAAACGGAUCCGACAGUGAGGGACGAAAGCCAGGGUCUCCAACCGGAUUAGAAACCCUAGUGUCC
rnacentral:rRNA from 1 species